rnacentral:rRNA from 1 species
UACGUAGGGUGCGAUCGUUGUCCGGAAUUAUUGGGCGUAAAGGGCUCGUAGGCGGUCUGUCGCGUCGGGAGUGAAAACUCAGGGCUUAACCCUGAGCCUGCUUCCGAUACGGGCAGACUAGAGGUAUGCAGGGGAGAACGGAAUUCCUGGUGUAGCGGUGGAAUGCGCAGAUAUCAGGAGGAACACCGGUGGCGAAGGCGGUUCUCUGGGCAUUACCUGACGCUGAGACGCGAAAGCGUGGGGAGCGAACAGG